CUUGGUGAUGGGGUUCCAGGGCAGCAUCACAAAGUGAGUGGGACUGUUGUCCCACUCCUGGUUGCUUUUAUCCCUAUCAGAGAGAAAAUGAAUUACUGAGAUAACCCCUUACAAAUGAUCAUCUUGGAUUUAUGAUUGUAUUGCAUUUGUCAUACACAUAAAAAACCAUCUUUUAGAAGCAGAGGAAAUUCAGGGAGAACGACUGAGCAGGACAGGGUCCUAAGGAAAAGAUGGAGAAUCUCUGCUGCCUCCAGCGCACUCAAAUUUAGGCCUCCUCUCCCAGCAUGUGGAAAAGGCGUGGGCUUUGGGCCAGAGGAGGACCUGGGAUGUGAUGGCAGAAGGCAGAGAUCCUCUUUCCUAGCUGGGAAUGCUCCUUUCCAAACCAGCCAGGAAGGAAGGGAGAGGAAUCUGUGAGCACAGCCGAAGUUUGUGAAGCAGGGACUGCUGGAGGAGCUCGCUGUACAACUCAAUUUGCACAAUGUCUGAGCACUCCACUUUCAAAAGUCAGCCCAAGCAGAUCGUUCCAGAUUCCCCUUGCCAGAAUCCUUGGGAUGGGUCCAAGGGAAUGAUCUUGUCUGCUGCAGCUUUUAGGGGAAGGAUGCUCCCUCAGCACAGCAAGUCACGGUGCUCAGAGCAGGACACCUUUCAGACACCUCCUGAUGGGAGCAAGGUGAGUGCUGCUGUGCUGCUCUGGCCAUGGCAGAAUUUGGCUCUUUGAUUCCUCCGAUCGUUUCCAGGGAUAUUAUCCAGCCAUUCUGGAAAACCUGACACUUGACAAACGACACUUCUGCAAGGUCAUCCUUAAACCUUUGAGGAACAGGGAGCUUUUUCAGCUGCCCCUGCCCUUCCCUGAAUGCCGGCAGCCAAGCCCAUAUGGAGCAUUGUGGGCUGAGCUCGUUGUUGAUGCAAAUGCAUACGACUAGUUUUGAUUAAAAGCAAAAUGCAGAA